rnacentral:tRNA from 1 species
CAGAAUGUGGCUGAAUCAGUUAAGCAUCUCAUUUACGCCGAGAAGAAACCCUUGCGAUCAGGGUCGUUCUGA